GUUUUCUUUGAUAUGCCAUAUACCAAAAUUGGAGCAUUACAGAGAAGAUUAGCAUAGUGCUUGAGCAAGAAUAAAACACAAAUUCAAGAAGUAGUGCAUAUUUUU
ensembl:snRNA U6 U6 spliceosomal RNA